rnacentral:lncRNA from 1 species
UGUUGUUGGUCUCUGGGGUGUAGCAGGGUGUAAUGUUGUUGUUGGUCUCUGGGGUGUAGCAGGGUGUAAUGUUGUUGUGGUCUCUGGGGUGUAGCAGGGUGUAAUGUUGUUGUGGUCUCUGGGGUGUAGCAGGGUGUAAUGUUGUUGUGGUCUCUGGGGUGUAGCAGGGUGUAAUGUUGUUGUGGUCUCUGGGGUGUAGCAGGGUGUAAUGUUGUUGGUCUCUGGGGUGUAGCAGGGUGUAAUGUUGUUGUUGGUCUCUGGGGUGUAGCAUGGUGUAAUGUUGUUGUGGUCUCUGGGGUGUAGCAGGGUGUAAUGUUGUUGUGGUCUCUGGGGUGUAGCAGGGUGUAAUGUUGUUGUGGUCUCUGGGGUGUAGCAGGGUGUAGCAGGGUGUAAUGUUGUCGGUCUCUGGGGUGUAGCAGGGUGUAAUGUUGUUGUGGUCUCUGGGGUGUAGCAGGGUGUAAUGUUGUUGUGGUCUCUGGGGUGUAGCAGGGUGUAAUGUUGUUUUGGUCUCUGGGGUGUAGCAGGGUGUAAUGUUGCUGGUCUCUGGGGUGUAGCAGGGUGUAAUGUUUUUGUGGUCUCUGGGGUGUAGCAGGGUGUAAUGUUGUUGGUCUCUGGGGUGUAGCAGGGUGUAAUGUUGUUGUUGUCUCUGGGGUGUAGCAGGGUGUAAUGUUGUUGGUCUCUGGGGUGUAGCAGGGUGUAAUGUUGUUGUGGUCUCUGGGGUGUAGCAGGGUGUAAUGUUGUUGUUGGUCUCUGGGGUGUAGCAGGGUGUAAUGUUGUUGGUCUCUGGGGUGUAGCAGGGUGUAAUGUUGUUGUUGGUCUCUGGGGUGUAGCAGGGUGUAAUGUUGUUGUGGUCUCUGGGGUGUAGCAGGGUGUAAUGUUGUUGAGGUCUCUGGGGUGUAGCAGGGUGUAAUGUUGUUGUGGUCUCUGGGGUGUAGCAGGGUGUAAUGUUGUUGUGGUCUCUGGGGUGUAGCAGAGUGUAAUGUUGUUGUGGUCUCUGGGGUGUAGCAGGGUGUAAUGUUGUUGUUGUCUCUGGGGUGUAGCAGGGUGUAAUGUUGUUGUGGUCUCUGGGGUGUAGCAGGGUGUAAUGUUGUUGGUCUCUGGGGUGUAGCAAGGUGUAAUGUUGUUGUUGUCUCUGGGGUGUAGCAGGGUGUAAUGUUGUUGGUCUCUGGGGUGUAGCAGGGUGUAAUGUUGUUGUGGUCUCUGGGUUGUAGCAGGGUGUAAUGUUGUUGUUGGUAUCUGGGGUGUAGCAGGGUGUAAUGUUGUUGGUCUCUGGGGUGUAGCAGGGUGUAAUGUUGUUGUUGGUCUCUGGGGUGUAGCAGGGUGUAAUGUUGUUGUGGUCUCUGGGGUGUAGCAGGGUGUAAUGUUGUUGUGGUCUCUGGGGUGUAGCAGGGUGUAAUGUUGUUGUGGUCUCUGGGGUGUAGCAGGGUGUAGCAGGGUGUAAUGUUGUUGGUCUCUGGGGUGUAGCAGGGUGUAAUGUUGUUGGUCUCUGGGGUGUAGCAGGGUGUCAUGUUGUUGUGGUCUCUGGGGUGUGGCAGGGUGUAAUGUUGUUGGUCUCUGGGGUG